AGCAGACCUACCCACGCGGCCAAUGUAUCACAAGACAAGCGUCUACCGGGGCACCAUGGAAUUCCAGUUUGAGAAAUCCACAUGGCCAUCAUUCGGGAACGGAAACGCUGGCUGGGGUCUAGCAGCCUACUCGGAGAGCCUUCGCAGCCGGCGCUGUAAGCCAAAACACAGCACCCUCGACACUUCUGCUUGCGGACGUAUCACACUUUAUGGACACGCCACACCCGGCACAACCACCAGUUUGUCGAAGCAAGCGGCAGCGGCGUCAGCCCGAACGGCUCGUUUAUCUUGAUAAACAAGGGACAACGUCGGGUCUAACCACUUUUCGGAGAGCCCGCGCCAGCCCACUACUGUGGGCCAAGACACAGCGCCUUCGUAACUUCCUGUCUGCGGCCGUAUCGCAUUUUAUGGACACGCUCUACACGGCAC
rnacentral:lncRNA from 1 species